rnacentral:rRNA from 1 species
AGUGAACGCUGGCGGUAGGCCUAACACAUGCAAGUCGAACGGCAGCACAGUAAGAGCUUGCUCUUACGGGUGGCGAGUGGCGGACGGGUGAGGAAUACAUCGGAAUCUACUUUUUCGUGGGGGAUAACGUAGGGAAACUUACGCUAAUACCGCAUACGACCUACGGGUGAAAGCAGGGGAUCUUCGGACCUUGCGCGAUUGAAUGAGCCGAUGUCGGAUUAGCUAGUUGGCGGGGUAAAGGCCCACCAAGGCGACGAUCCGUAGCUGGUCUGAGAGGAUGAUCAACCACACUGGAACUGAGACACGGUCCAGACUCCUACGGGAGGCAGCAGUGGGGAAUAUUGGACAAUGGGCGCAAGCCUGAUCCAGCCAUACCGCGUGGGUGAAGAAGGCCUUCGGGUUGUAAAGCCCUUUUGUUGGGAAAGAAAAGCAGCAGGUUAAUACCCCGCUGUUCUGACGGUGCCCAAAGAAUAAGCACCGGCUAACUUCGUG